UUUUUUCAUUUCUUUCAUAUUGAAAAUUGAAAUCAGAGAUAAAGUGGGUAGAAAGAAGCACACACAACCUGCAAAAUAGAUAUGGGUUCUUCCUCAUUCCGUUUUUUUUAGUCCUCAUUCCCUUUCUUCUUUUUUUUUUCCCUUCUUUUUUCUGCUCCUCCUUCUUUCUCCUCUUCUUCUCUUCUAGCAUUUUUCUUCCUCAUUUAUUUCUAUCAUUCUUUUUUCCUCCAAAUCUAUUUGUAUAUGUAAUGGGAAAAUAUGAAGCUAAGAUCUAGGUUAGAAAAUUGACAUACAGAAGACACUCUGUUUGUAAAUAAGAAUUUGGAUUUACAAAGAGGCUUCAUAAAUUGUGAGAUAUAUUUAGGGCUAGGGUUUAUCAGUUGUAAUUCUUCCAAAGUUAUUUUAAAAAGUUAUUUUUCUCAUUAUCAAUGCUUCUAACUGUUUAUUGAAAAAUGUUUUUUUUUUUUUUGGGAUAAUCAACAUUUACCCUUGCCAUAUAAAAGUGAGAUUCGGGGGUUCCCUAUAAUUUUUUUUUUAAUUAUCCCCUUGAAAUAUUUAAAAUUCUAUGUUUUUUUUACACUUAUGAUACUUUAUACUAAAAUACAAUUAGGGUUCAUAGAACUUUUCAUAAAUAAGUUAGUAUUAUUUUUUAUUUCAAUGCAGGAUACUUUCUGUUUGUUAUUUAAGUUUGUUAAUAUGGAAAUCUUACAUCACCUUAGUUUCUUGGAAGGAGGUGUUUAAGGUUAUUGAAAGACCUUGAGCAACCUCAAGGUGGUGAUGAUAUUUGGAAUAAGAAUAAUGGGACACCUACCAUAAAGUGGCACAAGAUACUUUUUGGCUCUACAGGACCUGCACAGUGCACAUGAAGUGGUUGCUUAUUCAGAACCAGAAGGGUGUUUUCCAAAUAAUAAUACAUUAAAUGGUUUGAAGAAGAGUUGUACGGUCUAAAUGAUGAAAUAAGACUAAACCUGAAUAUACAAUUGAUUCAAUUGCAUAUUCAAGUUUAGUCUUAUUUCAUCAUUUAGAAUUGAUUUAAUCGGUUAUGAGAUCUCUGAAAGAGGCAGAAUCAGAGAGGGAGGUUGAUGAUGUUGACUCCAAAUUCAACUUGCAUUUCUCACCAGGUGAAGCUGGGUUUGACGAAGGACAGUACAAAAUGCCAAAACAGAAGUCAAUGGGUAGCAUUUUCAGUCAGGUGGGUAUGUGGGAGGUUGCAACCAGUUUUGGGUGUAGUUCUGUGCCAAUUAUCUGGAGAUCAUCUGGUGAGUAUGCUGCUAGACCUCUCAAUAAGGAAAAUUGAUGAUUUAACAAUUCUGUUUUCAAGUGGCAAUUAAUAUUUUAUUAGGUGUGAUUUGUGGGAAAUUACAAAAUAAGGAACUACAUUAUGUUUUGACCAUAAACUGAAGGAUUUAUUUUGUCUGCACUCUUCUACAGCAUGAGUUGGAAGAUCCAAAGGAAACACCAGAGGAGGCAGUAGUUGAGAUAACUUGUGAGCUUAGCAUGAAGAAACAUGUCGGUAGCCACUUUGUUGACCACCCUGCGGUGUUAGUUUUUUUUGUGUGAAGUGGCUGUAGGAGAAGCUUUGGUUAAAUUUGAGGAUGCCUAACAGUUCCUUAUACAGAAGGCAGAAGAAGACAAACUCAUUCAAGUUACUAUUGAGCUCCUCCAAGAAUAGGUUAUCAAGUAUUAUUCGAGUGGCCAACCACAACUAGUUUUGGCUUAGCUU